AAAUUGGACGAGACUGUUGCUAUGAAUAGGACAAUAUAUGAAAGAGGCUAACUGAAUAGGCUAUCAACCUGAAAAUAAGGAUCUGGAAGCGUCCUUACCAAGUUUCUCCAUUUGGUGGAUUUGCAAAUACUUCUGGCAAGGGGAAUUAGGAAGGUAUUUUUAUGUGGUUCUAGAAUCAAAGAUGAGUUUGGAAGAGAUUUAGAUGUCAAAAUGUGAAGAAUAUAGGGCCAGAGUAGUACACGGGUCGUGUAACUUGCCCCGUAUAACUUCCUGGAUCCCAUGCAACUCUCCGG
rnacentral:misc_RNA from 1 species